AGUGCCUCUCCCCAGAGUGAGGUGGUGACCAUGCUGGGAAAUGACAUCUCACACCUCGCUCAGCUGCACCGGACUCCCAGGACGUAACAGCCCCCAGACGGCUCAGAAAACCCGAUGCGCCAGGAGUCCACCCACUGACGUUGGUCUUGGGGACCUCGGGUGACUUUCCUUCAGGGCUUGGGCUCCAUCGGCACCCGUCCCGACUCGCCUGGCCAUCUUAGACGUCAGGGACAGCAGCAGCCCCCCCGGGCAGCCUUCGUGACAGCAGCAGCAGCAGGGGAGGACUGGUCUGUCCCUGAUUGCAGGAAGGAAUAUGAGCCAGCAGAACCAGAGCAAGAACUGCUCCUUUGAUGAUGUGGAAGAGCUGAUGAAAACCGUGCAGUUGGUUGUCCACAUCCCUACCUUCCUCCUUGGUCUGGUCCUCAAUGUGCUCGCCAUCCGAGGCUUUAGCUCCUUCCUGAAGAAGAGGUGGCCUUGCUACACUGCCACCUCCAUCUACAUGAUCAACCUGGCGGUCUUUGACCUCCUGCUGGUGCUCUCCCUCCCAUUCAAGAUGGUUCUGUCCCAAACGACGGAUCCCUUCCUGCCCUUCUGUACGCUGGUGGAGUGCCUCUACUUCAUCAGCAUGUACGGGAGCAUCUUCACCAUCUGCUUCAUCAGCCUGGACAGAUUCUUGGCCAUCCAGUACCCAAUCCUGGUCAGCCACAUCCGGUCCCCCAGGAAGAUCUUCGGGAUCUGCUGUAUCAUCUGGGUGCUGGUGUGGGUCGGAAGCACUCCUGUCUAUAGCUUCCAUAGCAAUGGGAAAAAUUACACGUGCUUCCAUAACAUGUCUGAUAGCACCUGGAGCGCCAAGGUCCUCUUCCCUUUGGAGGUCUUCGGCUUCCUUCUUCCCAUGAGCAUCAUUGGUUUCUGCUCCUCCAGGAGUAUUCACAUUCUGGUUGCCCGUCGGGACCACACCCGGGACUGGGUCCAGCAGAAGGCCUGCAUCUGGACUAUUGCAGUCAGCCUGGCUGUCUUUGUGGUCUCCUUUCUCCCUGUUCACCUGAGUUUCUUCUUGCAGUUCCUGGUGAGGAAUGGCUUCAUCGUGGAGUGCAGAACCAAGCAGAAUAUUAUCUUGUUCCUGCAGUUGUCCAUGUACUUCUCCAAUUUCAAUUGCUGCCUGGAUGUUUUCUGCUACUACUUUGUCAUCAAAGAAUUUCGCAUGGACAUCGUGGCCCACCGGCGUUCCAGAACCCAGCUAGUCCACCAGGACACCAUGACCACCAUGGCUAUGGCUAAAAGUCAUGGAAAAAAGUCAUGCCUGGAGGAAGGAAACCUCAACCUGAAUUCCAUAGUGGAUAUCCCUUCCCAGGGCUCUGAUGUGGUGGGCUGACAAGUGGCGCAUUUACUGGUGUGCCUUCCCUCUGAUGCUCACUUGAAUGCCGUUUUUGCUCACUGUGGCCCCAAAACCUUUCCCCAGAACCCAGACAACUUGACAUAAGCCACUCAGUGUCAAUAUCUGGGGAGCUCUGAAGAACCCAGGUGAAUUCUUGAUUUCUCACUCUCCAAAGCAGGAGGCCUUUGACUAUGUGGAUCACAAUAAACUGUGAAAAAUUCUAAAAGAGAUGGGAAUACCAGACCACCUUACUCGCCUCCUGAGAAACCUGUGUGCAGGUCAAGAAGCAACAGUUAGAAUUGGACAUGAAACAACUGUUCUAAAUUGGGAAAGGAGUACAUCAAGGCUGUGUAUUGUCACCCUGCUUGUUUAACUUACAUGCAGAGUACAUCAUGCAAAAUGCCAGGCUGGAUGAAGCUCAAACUGAAAUCAGGAUUGCUAGAAGAAAUAUCUGCAACCUCAGAUAUACAGAUGAUACCACCCUAUUGGCAGACAGCAAAAAGGAACUAAAGAGCCUCUUGAUGAGGGUGAAAGAGAAGAAUGAAAAACCUGGGCUAAAACUCAACAUUCAAAAAACAAAGAUCAUGGCCUCUGGUCCCAUCACUUCAUGGCAAAUAAGUGGGGAAAAAGUGGAAAUGUGACAGAUUUUAUCUUCUUGGGCUCCAAAAUCACUGUAGAUGGUGACUUAGUCACAAAAUUAAAAAGAUGCUUGCUCCUUGGAAGGAAAGCUAUGACAAACCUAGACAGCAUAUUCAAAAGCAGAGACAUCACUUUGCCGACAAAUGUCGGUAGAGUCGAAGCUGUGGUUUUUCCAGUGGUCAUGUAUCGAUGUGAGAGUUGGACCAUGAAGUAGGCUGAGUGCUGAAGAAUUAAUGCUUUUGAAUUGUGCUACUGGAAAAGCUCUUGAGAGUCCCUUGGACUGCAAGGAGAUCAAACCAUUCAAUUCUAAAGGAAAUCAACCCUGAAUAUUCAUUGGAAGGACUGAUGCUGAAGCGCCAAUACCUUGGCCACCUGAUGCGAAGAGCCGCCUCACUGGAAAAGACCCUGAUGCUGGGACAAAUUGAGGGCAGGAGGAAGAGAGGGCGACAGAGGGUGAGAUGGUUGGAUGGUAUCACUGACUCAAUGGACAUGAGUUUGAGCAAACUCCAAGGGAUACUGAAGGACAGGGAAGCCUAGUGUGCUGCAGUCCACGGGGUCACAAACUGUCAGACACGACUCAGCAAUUGAACAACAACAAAAGCACGAGGCAGAAGAACUGAGAGAAAGAGACCAUCUGCAUAAGGCUGUUUUCCAACUCUCUUCUGUCCUUCUAUUAGGCUAGAAGAUUCUGCAAAGGAAGAGAGGAGUUGGGAGAGAGAAUUGGGAGGGUUGGGCAUGGAGGAGGGAUGGAGUGGGAGGGACUGAUGAAGCUCCUUUUCAGUUCAGGGAUCCUGGGGUGGAGUGGUUGGACUUUCUGGUCUCUUCUGUCCCUCUGUUGACCAAUGACCACACGGAGAUGCCAGCAGAAGGGGUGACUGGGGAGAGCAAGUAUGCACAGAGAACCCCAAGUUUUCUAUGGGCCUUGGAAAGGCCUGAGAGGUCACCCAAACCUUCCUGUCCCCAGGAGAAAGCUGCAGAGGGACUGAGGGGGACUGGUGUGGACCAGGCUGUGUGAAGCUGUGGACACUAUGUGGAAGCAGCAGGGACAGAGUGAAAAGCUGUUGGUGACACCUGAGAACCAUGAGGGGACAGGAUAUACCUGGGAAAGAGGCAGUUUCUCCAGUGCUCGCAGGACGCAGAGUCGUGAAUGGACAUUUGAUGGAGAGCAUAUGGCAGCAGGUCAAGGUGGGGGCAGGAGCUUGGGGUGGAAGGACCAACAGACGUCUUUCUGCCCUAACACUGGCCUGAGCAUCCCAUCCCCCCCAACCCCCACCACAAGCCUGUGAGAUGUGUCCUCCACACAAAGGCACUGCAGGAGGGCCUACAGGAUGCCCCUCAGGGCUUUGAAGUCUUUGAAGCCCUGUCACUUCAAAGGCUGAUGUCACUUCCGCUGGGGGGAGGGGCCCUGAGUUCACCCUGACGCCUCAGACAGCCUUUGUUCUGUGACCCUCCCAAGCAACCGUGUGAGGCAGGCUGUUGAGAUCUGGGGAUCCGAGGGGCACCUACAGUCAUGCAAGAGGGACCUCAGGGUGCGUUUGUGUAACGGACAUCUCUGUGAAGUGUGUUCCUGGCCAGAGAGCUCUCUCUGCGGGCGGCACAUUGUGGAUGGUGGUGCACAAAAAUGUGCGUGUGUGGCCUUUCAUUCAAGGAGUGAGAGCCAGUGGAAGCUGCUAAGAAGUUAGGGAAGGUGUGCAGUUAUCAGCCUUGACCUGGCUAAAUGCAGAGGAUCCACGAGGCUGAUUGUCAUGGCUGGUGGUGCGUGAAUGACCCUGACUUGAGAAACAUACAGGCGUCCAGUGACCCAGGGACCAUCGUGUGAGGUCCAGGAUCCAACCACAGCUCUAGGGGUGGAUGGUGGGGUUUUGUCCUUCCCUGAAGGACAGAGAGGCCUCAUGGCCAAGGGUCUGGGAUGGUCAAGGAAGCUUCCAAAAGACCUGGCACCAGACAGGUGGGCAGACCACCCCCAAGAUGUGCCAGAUGGUGUUGGCCCUGGGUUCUGGGAGGGGCCACCUCCAACAGCAGAUACAAACCUCUUGGCUAUGCUUUCCUUCCCAUUUUUCUGAGUCCUGAGCACAGACUUCAAGUGGUAGCUGGGUUCAGCUCUCACUGAUUGGAAUCAUGCACAUGCAGCAGAGUGGAGCAGGUGUAAAUGCAAAACCAGGAGGCAUAUGGGGGCUUGUCAGCAUGUCCGGGGGCAGAAGACCCAGAAGUACUUGGGAAGGGAAAACUGGCAGGAAAAUGCACUCCUGCAAACUAAUAAAAGAUGGGAGCAAGCUGAUCAUUCUUGGAGUAUUAAGAAAAGUUGACUUCAAAGGCUGGGAUAUUGAAGUCACAUGGAUAAAAUGGGGAUGAAAAUUGAUAUCAUGGAGCUGGAAACUCUUGAUAUUUCUCUUUUUUUUAAAGAUUUUUUUUGGAUGUGACCCUAAAUUUUUAAAGUCUUCAUUAAAUUUGUGACAAUAUUGCUUCUGUUUUAUGUUUUGGCUUUUUGGCCAUGAGGCAUGUGCGAUCUCAGCUCCUGGGCCAGGGAUCGAACCCACAUCCCCUGCUCUGGAAGGUGAAGUCUUAACCCCUGGACCACCAGGGAAGAUUUCCUCCCUGGGAUCUCAAGCUGCAAACCCAUUUCUAGAAAGGGACUAGUGCCUAACCUGUAGGGCUGCCAUAAUGAAACACCACUGACUGAGGGGCUUAAACAACAGAAAUUUAUCUCUCACAGUUCUUGCAGUCUAAGUUCAAGGUCCCACAGUAUGUGGUUUCUGGUGAGAGCCUUCAGGCGCCUUUUCAUUAUGUCCUCACAAGGCAGCUCAGCUGGUAAAGAAUCUGCCUACAGUGCAGGAGACGCUGGUUCGAUCCCUGGGUUGGGAAGAUCCCCUGGAGAAGAGAACAGCUACCCUCUCCAGUAUUCUGGCCUGGAGAAUUCCAUGGACUGUGUAGUCCAUUGGGUCGCAAAGAGUCAGACACUACUGAGCAACUUUCACUUUCACAAGGCAGGGAGAGAGGGCAAGAGAGACAAGCACUGAGCUCUGGUGUCUCUUCUUAUAAAGACACCAAUCCUGUCAGAUCAGGGUCUCAACUUUAUGACCUAAUUUUACCUUAAGUGAAGUUGCUCAGUUGUGUCCGACUCUUUGCAAUCCCAUGGACUGUAGCCUACCAGGCUCCUCCAUCUGUGGAAUUUUCCAGGCAAGAGUACUGGAGUGGGUUGCCAUUUCCUUCUCCAGGGGAUCUUCCCGACUCAGGGAUUGAACCCGGGUCUCCCACAUUGCAGACAGACCCUUUACCGUUUGAGCCACCAGAGAAGCCCUCAAUUUUACCUUAAUCACCUCCUAAAAGCCCUGUUUCCAAAUGCAAUCACAUUGGGGCUUAAAGCUUCAACAUACAAGUUUUCUUUGCUGGGGGAGGGGGAAUGGGGAGGGACAGUUCAGUCCCUUGCAUACAGAUUUACUCUGUGACCUGGAUCAAAAGAAUCACUGUGCUUCCUUUGUUUCUUCAAUGCAUAUAAAACCUGCUCUGAGCUCAGCAAGUCUUUCUGUAGCUCCAGCUAUAGUAUUAUAGUAUAUUCUGUAUUACAGUACUGUAUAUUACAGUAUACAGUAUAUUCCAGCUCCAUCAUCUGGGGCUCUCUCCCUCUCCCAGGACAUGCACAAGCCCUAGGAAUGGGGUCCCUUGUUGGCUGCCCUAUUUACAGGGGCCUCUGAGUCUCAGGUCCUACUGGUCACAACCAUGGUGCCCAUGUAACAGGCUCUUCAAACACUUGGGCAAGAAACUCCUCCCUGCAGCCCCUGAGAACUCAGUGUUAAGUGGUCUUUCUCCUUCAAGCCUGAGGCUCUCUUUGGCCUUCCUGAUGCUCCAUGGGGUGGCAGACUCUUGUCCUGGCUGUUCCAAGGAACCAGCCCAGCCCUGCACCCUCCCAGGUUUGGGGGCCAGUGCUCUAAUCUUGAGCCCAGCCACACUCCUCUGUAACCCCCAGUCCCUAAUCCUGCAGGGCUUUUUUUUUAAAACCUGACUUCCUUUUUGGGUAGAGGGAACAGAAGAGACUUCCCACCAGUGCUCCCUGGUCCUGUGGUCCUCAUGGGCUUCUGCGAUGGAACCACUUUCAGCUCCAACUCAAUUCAACUGACCUCAUAUUUCCUGAACAGCCACUGUGUGUCCACUCCUGUGUGAGACAAAAAGGACAGAACUGGGGCCUCAGAGCCCCUCUGAGCCAUGCUGAAUACAUGGGGAUCGGAGAACAGGGCGAGUCCUGAACCCAUACCACCUGUAGAUCUUGUAUGUGGCAUGUGGUUUUUAAACUUAAAAAAAAAAAUCACAGUGGCCAUUUAAAUGACAGGUCAUGGUGGUCUGAUAUGUAAAAUGAUAAAAGAAGAGUGACCAUGGGGGGUGAGUCCCCCAAGUGUCUCUACAAAUGCACCCCAAUGCAAGCUGGGUUAGCUGUGGGCGCACGGAAGGUGUCCUGAAGCCUGUGGUCUGGGUGGCCAAGACCAUGGGGCUCUGGUGGUGCCCACAGAUCCUCCCCGCUGCCACCCACACCUCCUCCCAGCCCCACUCUCUCCUCUGGAAGGCCUGGCUUCCUCCCCGGACUGGAGCCUAAGGGCACCUUGCAGGUUGGGUUUCCUGAAAAGCUAGCUGCCUCUGAGAUGGAGCUUAGAAUGUGGGUGGUUUUUCAAAGAGCCUUCUAAGCAGUGGGGAUGGGUGGGGAAGCCGAGCUGGGAUGCAGGCCUGACAAUGCCUCAGCCAGUGCCCACAAGACCCCUUCAGCCCUGAGGUCUGUCCCGAGUUGUCCCAAGUUGGAAUGGGACCCAGGCCUGCAGACCCCAACUGAUCCAGUCUCAGAUGUCAGCCUGGGAAUUCAUGACCUAGUAUAGGAGGCUCCCUGCACCGAGGGCCUGAGAGCUGCUGGGCAGUAGGUCACUGCAGGGAGGCCCGGGCUGCUCAAUGAAGGAGUCUUUUGGGCCUAGAAAAGAGAACAAAAGUCUCAAAGGCCCCUUGCUGAAUCAUCUAACUUUGGAGAAAACAAAGCAUAACUUUAGUUCCAUCCUGAUGCUCCAGGCCAGCUGCAUCUAUCUGGGACUUAUCACCCCCUGUCCGGAAACCUACCACCCCCUACACCCGCUCAGAAGACUUAUCACCCCCUGCCCAACUACAAGUGUCAUCUCAACAAAAGAAUACUCAAAAUAUCCCGCCUGAUUGACGUUUCCCUUAUCGCUUCCACAAACCUCCCUAUUAAGUAUGAAGCCUCCCUGAUCCCUUUCGGCGCUCAGCCUGGUCGUUAGGCCGACUGUCGCCCCUCCUUGCCUGAAUAAA